rnacentral:rRNA from 1 species
UUCCGGUUGAUCCUGCCGGACCUGACUGCUAUCGGAUUGGUACUAAGCCAUGCGAGUCAUUGCAGCAAUGCAAGGCGGACGGCUCAGUAACACGUAGUCAAUCUACCUUAUGGACGUGGAUAACCUCGGGAAACUGAGAAUAAACCACGAUAGAUCAUUAUGCCUGGAAUGGCUUAUGGUCAAAACAGUUUACUGCCAUAGGAUGGGACUGCGGCCUAUCAGCUUGUUGGUGAGGUAAUGGCUCACCAAGGCUAUAACAGGUACGGGCUCUGAGAGGAGAAGCCCGGAGAUGGGUACUGAGACACGGACCCAGGCCCUAUGGGGCGCAGCAGGCGAGAAACCUUAGCAAUGUGCGAAAGCACGACUGGGUCAGUCCGAGUGAUUCCUGCUAAAGGAAUCUUUUGCUUGUCCUAAAAGCACAGGUGAAUAAGGGGUGGGCAAGUCUGGUGUCAGCCGCCGCGGUAAUACCAGCACCUCGAGUGGUCAGGACGUUUACUGGGCCUAAAGCAUCCGUAGCCGGCUUUGCAAGUCUCCGGUUAAAUCCACCUGCUCAACAGAUGGGCCGCUGGAGAUACUACACAGCUAGGGAGUGGGAGAGGCGGACGGUAUUCGGGGGGUAGGGGUAAAAUCCUCUGAUCCUCCGAGGACCACCAGUGGCGAAGGCGGUCUGCCAGAACACGUUCGACGGUGAGGGAUGAAAGCUGGGGGAGCAAACCGGAUUAGAUACCCGGGUAGUCCCAGCUGUAAACGAUGCAAACUCGGUGAUGCGUUGGCUUAUGGCCAACGCAGUGCCGCAGGGAAGCCGUUAAGUUUGCCGCCUGGGAAGUACGGCCGCAAGACUGAAACUUAAAGGAAUUGGCGGGGGAGCACCACAAGGGGUGAAGCCUGCGGUUCAAUUGGAGUCAACGCCGGG